AUGGGUUUGGGGCUGCACUGGGUUUUCUUGGUUGUUCUUUUAAAAGGUGUCCAUUGUAAGGUGCAGCUGGUUGAGUCUGGAGGAGGAUUGGUGCAGCCUAAAGCAACAUUGAAACUAUCAUGUGCAGUCUCUGGAUUCACCAUCAGUGACUUUACCAUACACUGGAUCCGCCAGGCUCCAGGGAAGGGUCUUGAAUGGGUUGCCAGUAUAAGAAGUAAAGGUUAUAAUUCUGAAACAUAUUAUGCUGAUUCGGUGAAAGACAGAUUCACCAUCUCCAGAGAUGAUUCCCAAAGCAUGGUCUACCUGGAAAUGAACAAUCUUAAAACUGAGGACACAGGCUCCUAUUACUGUGCAAGACAACACAGUUUUAAAUUUCCCAUCACUAUCAUCAUCGUCAUCAUCACAAUCACUAACCUGAAAGCCUGUUCAGACAGUGAAGCAACUUUCUCAGGUCUGAAAUCUGUUGAGAACUUUUGUCCUGAUGUUACAUCCUCAGCAUCUGCACAGGGAUCACAGAAGGAGGAUGCUGCACAUUUCCUCAGAGAGGAUUAUGACUAG